UACGGAGGGGGCUAGCGUUGUUCGGAAUUACUGGGCGUAAAGCGCACGUAGGCGGCUUUGUAAGUUAGAGGUGAAAGCCCGGGGCUCAACUCCGGAAUUGCCUUUAAGACUGCAUCGCUAGAAUUGUGGAGAGGUAAGUGGAAUUCCGAGUGUAGAGGUGAAAUUCGUAGAUAUUCGGAAGAACACCGGUGGCGAAGGCGGCGACCUGGUCCUUGACUGACGCUGAGGCGCGAAAGCGUGGGGAGCAAACAGG
rnacentral:rRNA from 1 species